AUGGUCUCGGAACAGCUUCGUGCAUAUGAAUUGAAGCAAAGGAAGAAGAAGUUGAGGUUUGAAAAUGACUCAAAAGAGUAUGCGGAGAAGGAGAAGCAGAGGAGAGCUGCAGAUGGUGCCAACAAGGGUGCCAAAUUUGUCAAAGCCAAGCAGCCUACUUUGAAGAAGAAGAGACUGAGUUCUAUUGCUGAGGAAGGUGGUACUCCUCGGCGGAUUCCACGUGUUUCUUGCAUGAACAAGAAUCUUGGAAAGAGAAAUGCUGAAGCUGGUGCAAAGGAUGCUCAACGCAAGUGA
rnacentral:rRNA from 1 species